rnacentral:misc_RNA from 1 species
AAGUCGUAACAAGGUUUCCGUAGGUGAACCUGCGGAAGGAUCAUUAACACGCGUAAUCUCUAACGAUUACAAACCAAACUCGUGAACUUUGUAUCAAUCAAACCGCGAUUAGUAGGCCGCUUCAGUUGUGCAAGGAGUGUUUCGAAUACUGUGACUCCUUGUGUGAUUGAGGUGCUAUGGACUAUUGGACGCGGUAUAUAAGUUAAAAAUAAACUCACUCAGUGCUCAUAUACACCCCUUUUUUGAAUUUCUAUAGUAACAUCUGAUCUUCCACAGUCAUGAGUCGAAAGGCUCGCUUUGACUGCACUGGAUCGUUAAUUCUUACGAAACAGUAAAAGAACAACUUUAAGCAGUGGAUAUCUAGGUUCCCAU